AUUGAACGCUGGCGGCAGGCUUAACACAUGCAAGUCGAACGAGUGGCGGACGGGUGAGUAAUGCUUGGGAAUCUGGCUUAUGGAGGGGGAUAACUACGGGAAACUGUAGCUAAUACCGCGUACCAUAGGAUGAGCCCAAGUGGGAUUAGUUAGUUGGUGGGGUAAUGGCUCACCAAGCCGACGAUCUCUAGCUGGUCUGAGAGGAUGACCAGCCACAGUGGGACGGAGACACGGCCCAGACUCAUACGGGAGGCAGCAGUGGGGAAUAUUGCCCAAUGGGCGCAACCCUGACGCAGCCAUGCCGCGUGAGUGAAGAAGGCCUUCGGGUUGUAAAGUACUUUCAGCGGGGAGGCGUUACCCGCAGAAGAAGCACCGGCUAACUCCGUGCCAGCAGCCGCGGUAAUAC
rnacentral:rRNA from 1 species